AUUGAACGCUGGCGGCAGGCCUAACACAUGCAAGUCGAGCGGAGUGGCGGACGGGUGAGUAAUGCCUAGGAAUCUGCCUGGUAGUGGGGGAUAACGUCCGGAAACGGGCGCUAAUACCGCAUACUAUCAGAUGAGCCUAGGUCGGAUUAGCUAGUUGGUGGGGUAAAGGCCUACCAAGGCGACGAUCCGUAACUGAUCUGAGAGGAGGAUCAGGCACACGGGAACUGGACAAGGGUCCAGACACCUACGGGAGGCAGCAGUAGGGAAUAUUGGACAAUGGGCGAAAGCCUGAUCCAGCCAUGCCGAGUGUGUGAAGAAGGUCUUCGGAUUGUAAAGAACUUUAAGUUGGGAGGCGUUACCAACAGAGUAAGCACCGGCUAACUUCGUGCCAGCAGCCGCGGUAAUUC
rnacentral:rRNA from 1 species